GGGGAUGUAACUCAGUGGUAGAGCAUGUGUUUAGCACGCAUGAGGCCCUGGGUUCAAGCCUUGUGUCCUUG
rnacentral:tRNA from 1 species